rnacentral:rRNA from 1 species
GAUGAACGCUGGCGGCGUGCCUAAUACAUGCAAGUCGAGCGAACAGACGAGGAGCUUGCUCCUCUGACGUUAGCGGCGGACGGGUGAGUAACACGUGGAUAACCUACCUAUAAGACUGGGAUAACUUCGGGAAACCGGAGCUAAUACCGGAUAAUAUAUUGAACCGCAUGGUUCAAUAGUGAAAGACGGUUUUGCUGUCACUUAUAGAUGGAUCCGCGCCGCAUUAGCUAGUUGGUAAGGUAACGGCUUACCAAGGCAACGAUGCGUAGCCGACCUGAGAGGGUGAUCGGCCACACUGGAACUGAGACACGGUCCAGACUCUUACGGGAGGCAGCAGUAGGGAAUCUUCCGCAAUGGGCGAAAGCCUGACGGAGCAACGCCGCGUGAGUGAUGAAGGUCUUCGGAUCGUAAAACUCUGUUAUUAGGGAAGAACAAAUGUGUAAGUAACUAUGCACGUCUUGACGGUACCUAAUCAGAAAGCCACGGCUAACUACGUG